ACGAGAACAGCAUGGCGGCAACUGCCUCCGUGAUUCAAUUAUCUCCAUCUGGUGCUGCCCUUGACAUGUGGGGAUUAUUACAAUUCAAGACAUAAAAAUCUUUUUCAGUAAAAACCUGACCUAGAACAUGCUGAAUCCCUUCUACCUUGGCAGUGAACGCCUUGAGACAGAAAACAAAACUGUGGCUAAAGAAAUUCAAUCAUUCUUCCCAGAGUGAAGCAGAAGAUGUUUCACAGACAGCAUGUGUCCUCAGAGCAAAUCUCGUUACAGCCUAGUAUAUGCCUAGAUCUGGAAAAUAACAAGAUGAAAAAAGAGAACCUGAAAGACAGAACUUUGACCGCUUGCAGAAGGAGAAACAGAAUUCUCUACAAAUUGCAUUAAAUUAUUAUGUAAGGAAACAAACAUUCCAAUGCAGACCAGUCAAUUAAGAGACAAUAUUGCCAGACAAAUUCAGCCAAGGUUUCCACCCAUUUUCAGAGAGGAAAGACCAUCUAACUAACGUAUUCAUUCUAUGUAUUUGUGGGCUAUAUGAUCAUAUUAAAUUAACAGGUAAUUAACAGUACAUAUUUCUCACUUCAUUGUACAGGUUCAGUUAUUCUUAGCUAAUCCUUUUUAUGGGCUAUAAUACAUUCCCAAGUAAAAUAUCUAUGUCAAAUAAACAUCUGAAAGAA
rnacentral:lncRNA from 1 species